rnacentral:rRNA from 1 species
UACGGAGGGAGCUAGCGUUGUUCGGAAUUACUGGGCGUAAAGCGCACGUAGGCGGCUUUGCAAGUUAGAGGUGAAAGCCCGGGGCUCAACUCCGGAAUUGCCUUUAAAACUGCAUCGCUAGAGUUGUGGAGAGGUAAGUGGAAUUCCGAGUGUAGAGGUGAAAUUCGUAGAUAUUCGGAAGAACACCAGUGGCGAAGGCGGCUCACUGGCCCGUUACCGACGCUCAGGCGCGACAGCGUGGGGAGCAAACAGG